GUAACAUAUAUACUAGCUAUGCUAGAAGAUGACGAGUGGCGGACGGGUGAGUAAUGCUUGGGAACUUGCCUUUGCGAGGGGGAUAACAGUUGGAAACGACUGCUAAUACCGCAUAAUGUCUUCGGACCAAACGGGGCUUCGGCUCCGGCGCAAAGAGAGGCCCAAGUGAGAUUAGCUAGUUGGUAAGGUAACGGCUUACCAAGGCGACGAUCUCUAGCUGUUCUGAGAGGAAGAUCAGCCACACUGGGACUGAGACACGGCCCAGACUCCUACGGGAGGCAGCAGUGGGGAAUAUUGCACAAUGGGGGAAACCCUGAUGCAGCCAUGCCGCGUGUGUGAAGAAGGCCUUCGGGUUGUAAAGCACUUUCAGUUGUGAGGAAAAGUUAGUAGUUAAUACCUGCUAGCCGUGACGUUAACAACAGAAGAAGCACCGGCUAACUCCGUGCCAGCAGCCGCGGUAAUACGGAGGGUGCGAGCGUUAAUCGGAAUUACUGGGCGUAAAGCGCACGCAGGCGGUUUGUUAAGCUAGAUGUGAAAGCCCCGGGCUCAACCUGGGAUGGUCAUUUAGAACUGGCAGACUAGAGUCUUGGAGAGGGGAGUGGAAUUCCAGGUGUAGCGGUGAAAUGCGUAGAUAUCUGGAGGAACAUCAGUGGCGAAGGCGACUCCCUGGCCAAAGACUGACGCUCAUGUGCGAAAGUGUGGGUAGCGAACAGGAUUAGAUACCCUGGGUAGUCCACACCGUAAACGCUGUCUACUAGCUGUGUGUG
rnacentral:rRNA from 2 species